rnacentral:lncRNA from 1 species
ACUUGACGCUGCAGGGCGGGCGGGGUAAAGAAGGGAGCGAGCCCUUCUCAAGCUUGGAAAGUUUCCAGACUGCUGGGCCAGCCUCCUCCCCAGAGGGAAACUGAGGUCCGAUUGAGGUUUCUCCAAGACCGCCCACUCCUGCUCCUGUCCCCAAACCCCUUUCUGCCUAGGGUUCCUGGAAGCCAAGGAAACAGAACGAACUGUUCCCUGGGUGGGCGAGCCACUGCAGAGUACAAAGCUUUCAGGCCGCCUGCCUCAUUAGCACUAAUGGCUGCUCCCUUCCGCCCUGUGUCGUCAGGACUGUCUAUGCCUGGUCUCAUCAGCACAAGGCUGGGCUGAAGAAGUCCCAGGAGUCCUCCCAUGUCCUCUCAGCAACCCAGGCUGGAGCCUACUCCUUGGUGUUGGCAAAGGAAACCGUCUUUGAAGGUGAGACCUUUUUUUUUUUUUUUUUUUGAGACGGAGUCUCCCUCUGUUGCCCAGGCUGGAGUGCAGUGGCGCAAUCUCAGCUCGCUGCAACCUCCCCCUCCUGAAUUCAAGCAAUCCUCCUGCCUCAGCCUCCUGAGUAGCUGGGAUUACAGAUGUGCAUCACCACGCCCGGCUAAUUUUUUUUGUAUUUUUAGUAGAGAUGGGGUUUCACCAUGUUGGUCAGGCUGGCCUCGAGCCCCUGACCUCAUGAUCAGGACUUCCUAACCGCGCCCGGCCCAAAGGUGAGGCCUCUUACAGCUGUAAUAAAGAGAAGAGAAGGCUGGGUGCAGUGGCUCACGCCUGUAAUCCCAGCACUUCAGGAAGCCAAGAUAGGCAGAUGGCUUGAGGUCAGGAGUUUGAGACCAGCCUGGCCAACAUGGUGAAACCCUGUCUCUACUAAAAGUACAAAAUAAUUAGCCAGUGUGGUGGCACAUGCCUAUGGUCCCAGCUUUUCAGGAGGCUGAGGCAGGAGAAUUGCUUGAGUCCAGGAGGCAGAGGUUGCAGUGAGCCAAUAUUACACCACUGCAUUCCAGCCUGGGCGACAGAGCAAGACACCAUCUCAAAAAAAAAAAAAAAGAGAGAGAAGAGAGGAGGGUCUGAAGACUUCCUGCUGGCUGAGUGUUAUCUGCCUCAGGCUACCCUGACUUUUUCACUGUUUUUCACUUUUUUUUUUUUUUUGAGAUAGUCUCACUGUGUAGCCCAGGCUGAUGUGCAUAACACAGCAGCCUUGAACUCCCUGGUUCAAGUAAUCUCCCUACCUCAGCCUCCUGAGUAGCUGAGACUACAGGCAUGCACUACCUCUCCCAGCUCGCUACUUUUCAGAAAGGGUAGACAAACUACAGUAGCUGCCUGGACACCAUACUUGGAGGAGAAGGGGAGGGGGAGGCUGCACCGGAUUCUGUCUUCUGAACUAUGUUAUCUUCCAGUUUCAACAUCAUAAAUAGCACAGCAAUCUUAUAUGAUGGGCCUCCUGAUGUGAUGCAAAAAUCACCAAAGUAGUAUUCUUGACAAAAGUAUUUACCAUGAAUCCAAUCUUGAAGAAGCAAUCAGGUAAAUCCAGAAUAUACUAGAAAAGUGGCCUGGCCUAAACUCCUAAAAAGAAAAUCAAUGACAUGAAAAACAAACAGGCUGAGUGUGGGGCAGAGGAUACUCUUCUAUAUUAAAAGACACUAGAGAGACAUAACCAAAUCCAAUUCAUGAACCUUGCUUCACUCCUGGACUAAAAUAAGAAUGCUAAAAUGGGCUGGGCGUGGUGGCUCACGCCUGUAAUCCCAGCACUUUGGGAGGCUGAGGUGGGCGGGUCACCUGAGGUCGGGAGUUUGAGACCAGCCUUACCAACAAACCCCAUCUCUACCAAAAAUACAAAAUUAGCUGGGUAUGGUGGCAUAUGCCUGUAAACCCAGCUACUCGGGAGGCUGAGGCAGGAAAAUUGCUUGAAUCCGGGAGGCAGAGGUUGCAGUGAGCCGAGAUCGCACCAUUGCACUCCAGCCUGGGAAACAAGAGCAAAAUUCCGUCUCAAAAAAAAGAAAAAAACAUGGUAAAAUGGCAUUCUUGGAACAAGUCAGGGUGAUACUGCUGAAUUACUGUUGGUGUGGUGAUGGUGUUUUCAUUGUGUAGAGCAAGGUUUCUCAACCUCUACUGUUAACAUUUUGGUGCAGAUAAUUUUCCUUUUCUUUUUUUUUUGAGGCAGGAUCUUGCUCUGUUGUCCAGGCUGGAGUGCAGUGGUGCAAUCAUGGCUCACUGCAACCUCCCCUUCCCAGGCUCAAGUGAUCCUCCCAGCUCAGCUUCCCGAGUAGCUGGGACCACGGGCCCACGUUGCCACGCCCGGCUAAUUUUUUGUAUUUUUUGUAAAGAUGGCGUCUCACUUUGUUGCCCAGGCCGGUCUCAAACUCCUGGACUCAAGUGAUUCUCCCACCUCUGCCUCCCAAAGUGUUGGGAUUACCAGCAACCCCAGGCCCACAUAAUUCUUUCUGGUGGGAAGUUUAACAGCAGUUCUGUUCUCUGCCCACUAGGUGUCAGUAGCACCACACCUCUUUAGUUGCAACAACUAAAAAACGUCAAAUGUUCUCCAAAUAGGUAGUGGUGAUGGUUGAAUAACAUCGUGAAUAUACAAAAACCAUUGGACUGUACCCUUUAAAAUGGUUAAAAUAGUGAAUUUUAUAUCAUGUAAAUUUUCCCAAUAAAAAAUGUUAUUAGGCCGGGUGCGGUGGCUCACAUCUGUAAUCCCAGCACUUUGGGAGGCCAAAGCUGGCAGAUCACUCGAGGUCAGGAGUUUGAGACCAGCCUGGCCAACAUGGUAAAGCCCCGUCUCUACUAAAAAUACAAAAAUUAGCCGGGCGUGGUGGCAUGUGCUUGGAAUCCCAGCUACUUGAGAGGCUAAGGCAGGAAACUCGCUUGAACCCAGGAGGCAGAUCUUGCAGUGAGCUGAGAUCACACCAUUGCACUCCAGCCUGGGUGACAAGAAAGAAACUACGUCAAAAAAGAAAAAGAAAUGAGUUUCCUCCUCCAUACUUGCAGAGCCCCAGUGAGUCCCUGCUCUGCAAUGCUCAUACCCAUUGUGCUGUUACUGCAAGUCAAUGAGAACGUUGGUGGACUUCUCUCCACUUCACAGAAGAAUGAAUGGAGGCCCAGAACAAUGGCAUGAACCUGUCGUUUCUUGGCCUUUUGGCUAAGAUCAAGUGCAAUGGCAUGAACCUGACCAUAGUCGUAGACAAACAAGAGGCAGAGACAUUGUCUUAGUUUGAGUUCCCACUUCAGAAAACCUUGAGACAAACAUUGUAGCACAGGAAGUUUAUUAAGAGGAUACAAGCCAGGCAUGGUGGCUCACGCCUGUAAUCCCAACACUUUGGGAGGCCAGGGUGGACAGAUUGCCUGAGCCCAGGAGUUCAAAACCAGCCUGGGCAACAUGGGGAAAUCCUGUCUAUAAAAAAUACAAAACUUAGGCUGGGCGCAGUGGCUCACGCCCGUAAUCCCAGCACUCUGGGAGGCUGACAUGGCUGGAUCACUUGAGGUCAGGAGUUUGAGAUCAGCCUGGCCAACACGGUGAAUGAAACCCCAUUUCUACUAAAAAUACAAAAAUUAUCCAGGUGUUGUGGUGUGCACCUGUAAUCCUAGCUACUUGGGAGGCUGAGGCAGGAGGCUCACUUGAACCUGGGAGGCAGAGGUUGCAGUGAGCUGAGAUCGUGCCACUGCCACUCCAGCCUGGGUGACAGCGAGACUCUGUCUCAAAAAAAAAAUAGCCUGGCAUUGUGGCAUAUACCUGCAGUCCCAGCUAUUAGGGAGGCUUAGGUGGGAGGAUUGCUUAAGCCUAGGAGGUCAAGACUGCAGUAAGCCAGCCGGGGGCGGUGGGUCAAGCCUAUAAUCCCAGCACUUUGGGAGGCCGAGGCAGGCGGAUCAUGAGGUCAGGAGAUCAAGACCAUCCUGGCUAACAUGGUGAAACCCUGUCUCUGCUAAAAAUACAAAAAAAUUAGCCGGGUGUGGUGGCGGGCGCCUGUAGUCCCAGCUACUCAGGAGGCUGAGGCAGGAGAAUGGCUUGAACCCGGGAGGCAGAGCUUACAGUGAGCUGAGAUUGCACCACUGCACUCCAGCCUGGGCGACAGAGCAAGACUCCAUCUCAAAAAAAAAAGACUGCAGUAAGCCGUGAGCAUGCCACUACACUCAGUCUGGGCGACAGAGCAAGACCCUGUCUCAAAAAUAAAUAAGGAAAUAAAAGAGGAUACAAAGAACAAGCGUACAAAAAUACAGGGAGGGAAGACAGCCACUAUAAAGUGGGUCAUAAGCAGGGUUCCACCAGGGAUGCCUGGUCCCCCCGGGGUGUGGGUGGGGAACUCUGGGCUGCAGUGCAGAAUGCAUGUCUCAGAGAAGUUCCACCCAAGGCAGGAGGAAGGUGAGUAGAUAUACAGCAACCCUGUCUCAGUCCCUUGGAGGGUUGUUGGGGGAGAGUUAACUCCUAGCACUUCUGACCAACUUGUAGAGUGAGCUCAGAAAGCCCCAGACACAUCAGAGGCAGAUACCAGCAGUGGACACCAAGAGUCUGUUCCACGUGUGUCUAAGCAUACUUAUCCCCCAAAAUGUGGCGCCCACACCAACAGCAUCAGCCUAAGGUAGGAACCUGGGAGGAUGUUAAGUCUGGCUCUGCCCCAACAUAAUGAAUCACAAACUCCUGGGGUAGGGCUCAGCUGCUAGAGUUUGUUUGUUUAUUUGUUUGUUUGUUUGUUUGUUUUGAAAUGGAGUCUCACUGUGUCGCCCAGGCUGGAGUGCAGUGGCUCCAUCUCGGCUCACUGCAACCUCCGCUUCCCAGGUUCCAGCGAUUCUCCUGCCUCAGCCUCCCGAGUAGCUGGGACUACAGGCACGAGCCACCAUGCCCGGCUAAUUUUUGUGUUUUUUAGUAGAGACAAGCUUUCACUAUAUUAGCCAGGCUGGUCUCGAACCCCUGACCUCGUGAUCCGCCCACCUCGGCCUCCCCAAGUGCAGGGAUUACAGAUGUGAGCCACCGCGCCCGGCCAACUGCUAGAGUUUUAACAGACCUUUCAGGUGGCUCUGAUGUGACUGAGCUUUGAGAAUCUCUGCCCUAACCCACCAUUUCUAACUCCAAAGCCCAAGGUCUUUCUGGUACUAGAUGAUGGCUGAGGCCUGCAGCCAAUUAGUGGGAAGGGCUGCUGGGGAUGUUAGAGGCAGAGGAAUAAGCGGCCUGACACUCAGCUCCGGGGACACCAAAUAGGUGCUGGCCCUUGUAACCCAGUGAGGAGGCAGCGCUCAUUCCUUUAUCUUAAAAUAUGUCCUGAGCACUUACUGCAUGCCAGAGCCUGGUGCAAAUGCUUAGGGCUUACUAGGAACCUGGGGGUGGAGGGAGCAGGGUUGAUGUGAAGGCUGGGUAUUGAACACAAAGAAUUUGGGUCUUUUGGGGCUCCUGUGGUCUGGUCCACUCCUUGGAGAUACCCACCAGGAGAUGACUCAGCCUUCCUAGUCCAGGAAGGCCCCCGCCUCUUUUUCUGUGAGCCCAGCCAUCACCUUAUUGCCUUCAGCAUGUCCUGAAUGGAUUUUGUCACUGUUACUGGGGCCUGCAAAGCACACAGCCCUCGUGGUCCAGCUAAGACCACCUGGCCACAGGCCGGCCCACAGCCGUACUUGCAGGGUGAACCAAAGUCAAGGAAGGGUCCAGAGAAGCUGGGUCUGAAUGCCACCCACCACUUCCCCAUGUCAGGAGAUGACACUUAUGUGGACACCCCAGGGAUUCCUAUGAUUCCUCCAACCCAUCACCUUUUCUAGAGCACCCCUCACUCCUCUCUCCAGAGUCUCCCACCUUUCCAGCACUGGCUUCCCAAGUUCCACUCUCUGCAGCCUCCAUCUGUGGCCUGGACCCCAGGAUCCAACCCCCUAAACUCCUUCUAGGCAACCAUCUUGGGCAACUUCACCCAAUGACAACCUAUGCUCCUCCUGUUAUUGACAGCCCUGAAAAAAUGGAGUUCAAGGUCAUAGGCCCCAUUGGACCUGAUAUCUUCACCAGGCUCCUGAGAACCCAACUGAGCAGCCCUGUCCUCAGAUUCCAGCUCGGACAUAACAUUGGGGGUCAGAAAACUGACUCCCAAGGUACAAACUGGAACAGCCAGGGUGAGUGCCAGCACACAGGAUGGCUUCCUCAUCAUAGGCCAGAGUCUGGCCCUGGGUUAGCAAGUUCAGGGCAGCCUACAAGAGGAAUGAGCUGGAAAGAGCUGUGGCCAACCCAGGGAGGCCCCAAAUACACCAAGUCCCAGGUCCUCCUGCUCUUGUCACCUUUCUACAGUGGUAAGACAAGACACAUUGUCUGAACAGUCCCAGUUCAGAACUUCUGUCGUGGAGCCUGUAGUGCUGCAAAGGUUGAAGACAGUGGCUUAUACCCAGCUCAGUUCUUUAUUUUCUCUCUUUCUCUCCUUCCUUCCUUCCUUCCUUCUCUUUCUUUCUUUCUCUUUCUUUCUUUCUUUCUCUCUUUCUCUUUCUUUCUCUUUUUUUGAGACAGUCUCGCUCUGUCACCCGGGCUGGAGUGCAGUGGUGUGAACUCAGCUCACUGCAAGCUCUGCCUCCCGGGUUCACGCCAUCCUCCUGCCUCAGCCUCCCGAGUAGCUGGGACUACAGGCGCACACUACCACGCCCCGCUAACUUUUUGUAUUUUUAGUAGAGAUGGGGUUUCACCGUGUUAGCCAGGAUGGUCUCAAUCUCCUGACCUUAUGAUCUGCCUGCCUCGGCCUCCCAAAGUGCUGGGAUUACAGGUGUGAGCCACUGCACCUGGCCUUUUUUUUUUUUUUGACAUGGAGUUUCGCUCUUGUUGCCCAAACUGGAGUACAAUAACACGAUUUCGGCUCACUGCAAACUCUGCCUCCUGGAUUCAAGUGAUUCUCCUGCCUCAGCCUCCUGAGUAGCUGGGAUUACAGGAGCACACCACCAUGUCCAGCUAAUUUUGUAUUUUUAGUAGAGAUGGGGUUUCACCAUGUUGGUCAGGCUGGUCUCAAACUCCUGACCUCAGGUGAUCCACCUGCUUCGGCCUCCCAAAGUGCUGGGAUUACAUUUUUUUUUUUUUUUGUCAUGUGUCUGUUGCCAAGGGAAUAAGGUUGGGGGGAGGAUCAGGCAAGGGCGUGAUUUAUAUACAUAUAUAUGUGUAUAUAUAUAUAUUUUUUAAUUUUUUAAUUUAAGGACAGGAUCUUGCUAUGUUGCCCAGGCUCUUGAACUCCUGGGCUCAAGCAAUCCUCUUGCUUCAGCCUUUCAAAGUGCUGGGAUUACAGGCAUGAGCCACUGCACCUGGCCAAGCUCAGUUCUUUCUGGGGGUGGGCUUGGGAAGCCUUCCUCAGCAGUGAUCCAAAGGCCUAGGACAGAGGAGAGGGGGUGCAGACAAGAAGGAACAAGGCCUCAGCCUCCCAUUCUUGGCAAAUCUAAACCUGGCAACCAAGAUGAUGAUAUUCUCAUUUCACAGAAAAGUCUACUUUUCUCAGCUGGGGAGCAAGUGUCAGGAGCACUGGGGCCAGACUCCCUCCCCAACCUGGCCCUGCUCAUUUUCCCCCGUUGCCUGAGGACCCUGGGGAUGGAGGAAGAGCAUCAGACCAGGGGCAGGGUCUAUUCUGGGCCAGCACGUGGAGCGGAGGCAGAGCUGGCCUCAGGCCCUUGCCUGAUCCUCCCUCCCCUUAUUCCCUUGGCAGCAGACACAUGACAUAGAAAUCACUGGUUCCACCAAAUACUGCACAGCCCAGAUGCUGCUGGCCUGAUCAGGGCCAAGCUGAGUCACCACUUUAGGAUACGAUUCUUGCUUUUUGGACUAUGAAUGCACCCUCAUCACCCCAUGCUCAACCCCCAACUGAAGACUGAGGUUACAGCAGAUCCGUGGAUAUCACAGGGUGAUGAGGCACUAGGCCACCUGCUGCCUAUUCCCUGGCACUUCAUUCUUCUGAUAAUGGAGUAUGAGAGAGAAUGGGACAUGAGGUGGACCCCGAUCAGGCAUGUCAUAGACAGGAGGGACACAUACUACCACUGGGCAUGGUGCCCUAGAUAAUGACCCAGAGGGAGGUUGUAGGUCUCGACCCUGGGGUCCAAGCUGAUGAGGAAAGGCAAGAAAAAAAGAAGGGGCCAGGCAUGGUGGCUCAUGCCUGUAAUCACAGCACUUUGGGAGGCCAAGGUGGGCAGAUCACUUGAGGUCAGGAGUUGGAGACCAGCCUGGCCAACGUGGUGAAACCCUGUCUCUUAUAAAAAUAUAUAUAUAUAUUAAAAAAUUAGCCGGGGCCAGCCACAGUGGCUCACUCCUGUAAUCACAGCACUUUGGGAGGCCAAGGCGAGUGGAUCACCUGUGGUCAGGAGUUCAAGACCAGCCUGGCCAACAUGGUGAAACCCCGUCUCUACUAAAAAUAUCAAAAUUAGCUGGGCAUGGUGGUGGCACAUGCUGGUAAUCCCAGCUACUCAGGAGGCUGAGGCAGGAGAAUCGCUUAAACCUGGGAGGCGGAGGUUGCAGUGAGCUGAGAUCAUGCCAUUGCCCUCCAGCCUGGGAGACAAGAGUGAAACUCCAUCUCAAAAAAAAAAAAAUAGCUGGGUGUGGUGGUGCACACCUGUAGUCCCAGCUACCCGGGAGGCUGAGGCAGGAGAAUCGCUUGAACCCAGGAGGCAGAGGUUGCAGUGAGCCAAGAUCACGCCACUGCACUCCAGCCUGGGUGACAGAGCAAGACUCCAUCUAAAAAAAGAAAAAAAAAGAAAAAAAAAAAGGAAAGAAAGAAGGGAAAGCAGGUAGGAUGUCUUGAACAAAUAGGUGGAUAUAGGCUCCAGAACUGGUGGUUGUUGGGAAAAGUGGGAAAACCUUCUGCAUGGGGUUGCCUGGGUGAGCUGAUUUCCUAUUAGGUCCUCAUUCCUGCUGCCACCAAGAUAAAGUGAUGGGUGGCAUGGAGAUUUCAGCUGUGUCCUUGGAUGUCAUGUGCUCUGCAGUCCUCAUGAUGAUAACAAGAGUCCAUCCAGUCCAUGCUUCGAUGCUGGCAUGACUAAAGGAACAGGGAUGUUAUCGAAUGGGAGGGCCACGUGGUGCCCUCGUGGGCUUCCCCAAGCAGCUGACCAGACCUGGAAGCACCUUUGUCUAAGGCCCUACGAGCAGCCUAGUUAAUCCUUUUCCAUUCCCCCAUCCCACUCACUUGUAUCCCACUCUGCCUUUGCCAUACUGAAUCCCAUCCUUGGAAAGUCAGGAAAGCCCUAAGAUCUCUAGGCUCCAGCAUAAGGCAGGUCCCCAGUAUAAUGACUGACUCUUGUCCCUUUUCUUCUUCUUCUUCUUCUUUUUUUUUUUUUGAGAUGGAGUUUCACUCUUGACGCCCAGGCUGGAGUGCAAUGGCAUGAUCUCGGCUCACCACAACCUCUGCCUGUCGGGUUCAAGUGAUUCUCCUGCCUUAGCCUCCUGAGUAGCUGGGAUUACAGGCGCCCGCCACCACGCCCAUUUUUGUAUUUUUAAUAGAGACGGGGUUUCACCAUGUGGGUCAGGCUGGAAUGCAACUCCUGACCUCAGGUGAUCCGCCUACCUCGGCCUCCCAAAGUGUGGGAUUACAGGUGUAAGCCACCACGUCCAGCCUACUUUCUUCUUUUCACAUGAUAGGUAUGAACUGGUAAUGGAAUAAAAUAGGCCGGGCGCAGUGGCUCACAUCUGUAAUCCCAGCACUUUGGGAGGCUGAGGUGGGUGAAUCACCUGAGGUCAGAAGUUCAAGACCAGCCUAGCCAACAUAGCAAAACCAAGUCUCUACUAAAAAUACAAAAAUUAGCCAAACAUGGUGGCACGUGCCUGUAAUCCCAGGUAUUCAGAGACUGAGGCACAAAAAUCGCUUGAACCCAGGAGGCAGAGGCUGCAGUGAGCCAAGAUUGCACCACUGCACUCCAGCCUGGGGGACAGAGUAAGACUCUGUCUCAAAAAUAAAGCAAAAUAAAAUAAAAUAAAAUAAAUCGUCAUUGUAUGAUGAUACAUUUGGUACUCCAAACUAUCAAGUUGUGGCCAGGUGCAGUGACUCAUGCCUGUAAUCCCAGCAUUUUGGGAGACCAGGGUGGGUGGAUCACCUGAGGUCAGGAGUUUGAAACCAGCCUGGCCAACAUGGUGAAACCCCUUCUCUACUAAAAAUACAAAAAUUAGGUGGGCGUGAUGGUGUGCACCUGUAAUCCCAGCUACUCAGGAGGUUGAGACAGGAGAAUGGCUUGAACCUGGGAGGUGAAGGUUGCAGUGAGCCGAGAUCACACCACUGCACUCCAGCCUGGCGACAGAGCAAGACUCCAUCUCAAACAACAACAACAACAACAACAAAACUAUCAAGUUGUAACUUCAAAACUGAAAUUUAUUUAUGUAUUUAUUUAUUUUGAGACGGAGUUUCGCUCUUGUCACCCAGGCUGGAGUGCAAUGGUGCGAUCUCAGCUCACUGCAACCUCUGCCUCCCGGGUUCAAGCGAUUCUCCUGCCUCAGCCUCCCAAGUAGCUGGAAUUACAGGCCCCCGCCACCAUGCCCAACUAAUUUUUGUGUUUUUAGUAGAGAUGGGGUUUCACCAUGCUGGCCAGGCUGGUCUCAAACUCCUGACCUCAGGUGAUCCAUCUGCUUCGGCCUCCCAAAGUGCUGGGAUUACAGGCAUGAGCCACGACACCCGGCCCAAAACUGCAAUUUAUAGUGCACUGAGCAGCAAAGAAAAGUGACGAGAGCACCACUUACGAUCUCUGUUCCAACAACUCGACUCUGCUGUUGGAACCCAAAAGCAGACACAGGCACCAUGUAACAGAUGAACCAGGCUACAUUUCAAUAAAACUCCAUGUCUGCACACUGAAAUUAGAAUUUUAGAUAACUUUAAUGUGUCACAAAAUAGCCUCCAUUCGAUUUUUUUUCAUUGUGGUUCACGCCUGUAAUCCUGGCCCUUUGGGAGGCCAAGGCAAGAAGAUGACUUAAACCCAGGAGUUGGAGACGCAGCCUGGGCAACAUCAGGAGACCCUAUCUCUACAAAAAAAAUUUUAAAUUAGCUGAGUGUGGUGGUGCGCACCUGUAGUCCCUACCCUUUGGGAGGCUGAGGCAGGAGGAUCAUUUGAGGCCAGGAGCUCACUGCACUCCAGCCUGGACAACAGAGGGAGACCAUAUCUUGGAAAAAGAGAGAGAGAGAGAGAAAAAGAGAGAUGGAGGGAGAAGGAGAGAAAUGUAAAAACUUUAGAAAAACUUCAGUGCUUCUUAGUUGGUUUAAAAAAAAAAAUGCCAGGCAUGGUGGCUCAUGACUGUAAUCCCAGUACUUUGGGAGGCCGAGCAGGCGGAUCGCAAGAUCAAGAGAUUGAGACCAUCCUGGCUAACACAGUGAAACCCUGUCUCUACUAAAAAUACAAAAAAUUAGCCGGGCAUGGUAGCGGGCGCCUAUAGUCCCAGCUGCUCAGGAGGCUGAGGCAGGAGAAUGGCUUGAACCCUGGAGCCGGAGCUUGCAGUGAGCCCAGAUUGCGCCACUGCACUCCAGCCUGGGCGAGAGUGCAAGACUCCGACUCAAAAAAAAAAAAAAAUCCUUGGGAGGCUGAGGCUGGAGGAUCCCUUGAGCCCAGGAGGUUGAGGCUGCAGUGAGCUGUGAUCCCACUACUGCACUCAGCCUGCAUGACAGAAUGAAACCCUGUCUCAAUCAAUCAAUCAAUAAGGCCGGGCACAGUGGCUCACGCCUGUAAUCCCAGCACUUUGGGAGACCGAGGCGGAUGGAUCAUUUGAGGUCAGGAGUUCAAGACCAGCUUGACCUACAUAGUGAAACCCUGUCUCUACUAAAAUACAAAAAUUAGCCAGGUGUGGUGGCAGAUGCCUGUAAUCCCAGCUACUUGGGAGACUGAGGCAGGAGAAUCGCUUGAACCCAGGAGGCGGAGGUUGCAGUGAGCCAAGAUCACACCACUGCACUCCAGCCUGGGCGACAGAACAAGACACCCUCUGAAAGAAAGAAAAGAAAGAAAGAGAAGGAAGGAAGGAAGGAAGGAAGAAAGGAAGGAAGGAAGGAAGGAAGGAACCAUUCUUGACUUGUGGGUUAUACAAAAACAGGCAGGGUUCCACUCCUGGCACUAGGUUUGUUCUUGUGUUUGUUCUCUGUUCAGGGUUAUGCCACGCAGAGGGUAGGAGGGGAAUUAGUCCAUGGUUAUGUGUCCUCACAGAUGACCACUGAGAAGGCCACCAUGCCUAGUCGUCACGACUCUAGGCCCAGCAACUUGCUGAAGACUCUGCAGUGCUGGGGACCCAGGCAUUUUUGUGAGGCUGUCCACACCCUAUCUGCCUGUGAGGACUGGGCAGUCCAUCUGGGGGUCUGGCUGCCUCUCCUGCGUGCUGCUGGGAGGCUAGGCCUGACUGUCAUUGCUCUACGGCCACAUCCCCAGCCACGCUCUUCUUUUUCUUCUUUCAGCCAGAGGGAGCCCUGAAUUCAUGCAGAGGAGUUUUUCUACCUUCCAUCUGCUUCUGCAUAUCAUCUUGUCUACUUAAUGCCCCUCCUUCCGGAUUUAUAGAACAGUAUGCAUAAUAUGACCCCAACUGCAUUCCAAAAAAUAGAUGUAGAUGUAAGCUUAGAGAUGCAAAGAAACUUUUUGAGAGAAUUCACUAUGCUUCUCGCGGGUGGUGACACAGUUCAAGGAGGUUCCAUGGGGUGUAAUGUUUAUCUUUCUCUUUUGUCCUUCUGAUCAUUGAAAUGAUGCUUUGUGUGUGUGAACAUGUAUUACUUUUAUAAUUAAAAUAGAAAAAUUAAUUUGAAUGGGACAAAUGCUCGAAGUCAAAGUCACCUGUUAUAACUGCUGUCACUAACAGGGCAACUGUUUGAAAAUGCUGCAGAAACAUGAGAAAUGUUCAUGAAGUGACCCUGUGGAGGCUUCCGGUCACAGGAUCAUGUGAGCGCCACGAUCACCCCAGGGGUGGAGCAGAUGCUAAGUGUUCACCACACCCAAUUCUCUUCCUGGACACACAGGAAGAUGACAUUUCCAGUGACAUGCCCCACCUCUAGGCCCUAGUCUUUUUUUUAUUUAAAGGUCUGAGUCUUGUUCUGUCACCCAGGCUGGAGUGCAGUGCUGUGAUCAUGACUCACUGCAGCCUCAACCUCCUGUGCUCAAACAAUCCUCCCACCUCAGCCUCCCUAAUAGCUGAUGUCAUAUAGGCAUGAGCCAGUGUGCCUGGCUCAGGCCCUACCCUUAAAAGCAUCCCACCUGAUUCACCAGCCCCCUUCUCUCUCUCAGUAAACUUGGAAACCACGCAUUCCAGAUGGUAUAAUUUACAGCAUGAUGGAAAAAGCCAGCUCUCCAUGGGAAGCUGGCCAGUCUUCAUUGGAGUACAUUUUUAUUGCAUGAAGCCAAUGAGACUUGAUAUUGUUUAACUCUGUGGUUUCCAAAGUGCGGUCCUUUUGAAGUAUCCAUAAAGUCUACACUAGGUUCACGGUAAUAUUAAGAUGUUAUUUGUCAGCUGGGCACGGUGGCUCACGCCUAUAAUCUCAGCACUUUGGGAGGCCAAGGCAAAUGGAUAAUGAGGUCAGGAGUUUCAGACCAGCCUGGCCAACAUGGUGAAACCCAGUCUCUACUAAAAAUACAAAAAUUACCUGGGUGUGGUGAUGCAUGCCUGUAAUCCCAGCUACUCAGGAGGAGGCUGAGGCAGGAGAAUUGCUUGAAUCCGGGAGGCAGAGAUUGCAGUGAGCUGAAAUCUCACCACUGCACUCCAGCCUGGGUGAUGGAGCAAGACACUGUCUCAAAAAAAAAAAAAAAGAUAUUAUUUGUCUUUCAUGAGUGUACAGUGGGAUUUUCCAGAGGCUACAUGACAUGUGUUUUUUUAUUUUGUUUUUUAUACUGACAGAGGGGUCUUGCUAUGUUGCCCAGACUGGUCUUCCAACUCCUGGCCUCAAGUGAUCCUCCCGCCUUCACCUCCCAAAGUGCUGGGAUUAUAGGUGUGAGCCACUGCGCCUGGCUGUUUGUGACAUGUGAUGUUGAAACAGGUUGAGUAUAGAAGCAGAUAUGGGAAUUAAACCAGAAUAUUAAACCAGACAUUGAAGAGAUUUGCAAAAAAUACAAAACAAUACCACUGUUUUCACUUUCUUUUUGGUUUGGAAAAAUGUAGUUAUUUUUCAUUAAAAGUAUGUUGUGUUGGCUGGGCACAGUGGCUCAUGCCUGUAAUCUCAACGCUGGGAGACUGAGGUGGGAGGAUCACUUGAGAUCAGGAGUUCGAGACCAGCCUGACCAACAUAAUGAAACCCCAUCUCUACUAACAAUAUAAAAAUUAGCUGGGCUGGCUGAGCGCGGUGGCUCACGCCUGUAAUCCCAGCACUUUGGGAGGCCAAGGCGGGCGGAUCAUGAGGUCAGGAGAUCGAGACCAUCCUGGCUAACAUGGUGAAACCCCAUCUCUACUAAAAAUACAAAAAAUUAGCUGGGCGAGGUGGCGGGCGCCUGUAGUCCCAGCUGCUCAGGAGGCUGAGGCAGGAGAAUGGCGUGAACCCAGCGGGCAGAGCCUGCAGUGAGCAGAGAUCGCGCCACUGCACUCCAGCCUGGGCGACAGCAAGACUCCGUCUCAAAAAAAAAAAAAAAAAAUAACUGGGCUUGGUGGCAUGCGCCUAUAAUCCCAGCUACUUGAGAGGCUGAAGCAGAAGAAUUGCUUGCACCUGGGAGGGGCAGGUUGCAGUGAGCCAAGAUCGCACCACUGCACUCCAGCCUGGGCAACAGAGCAAGACACCUUCACCUUCUCAAAAAAAAAAAAAGUUGUGUUAACAUGUAAUGGUUUCAUGAUAUCAUUUUAAAUAAAUUAAUAAACAUGUAAACAUUUUCUCUGUUUUAAUUUCUCACAUGGUAAAUAUUAAUGGUGUGAACCAAAAAGUGACUGAGGCAUCUCAAUCAAUUUAGAGGUUUAUCUUGCCAAGGUUGAGGACACGCCCGGGGAAAAAGAGACACAAGUCACAGUACGAUCUGUGUCCUGUGCUUUUUCCAAAGAGGAAAGAGGCAGCAGGAGGGGAGGGAGGAAAGGGGAAAAAAGCGGGCAGGAGGGUAGGCAGGGCGGCAAGUGGUGACAUUGUUGUGAGGCUGUGAUUAGCAGCUCAGUGACUCUAC